rnacentral:rRNA from 1 species
GACGAACGCUGGCGGCGUGCCUAAUACAUGCAAGUAGAACGCUGUUGCGAACGGUUGCGUACCGCGUAGGUACCUUCCUCAUAGCAGCGAUUAACUAUUGGAAACGAUAGCUAAUACCUCAUACUGUGAGUUGCCCCUGUGUUUUAUUAGAUAGUUGGUGAGGUAAAGGCUCACCAAGGCGCCGAUACAUAGCCGAACUGAGAGGGUGAACGGACAAACUGGGAAUGAGACACGGCCCAGACUCCUACGGGAGGCAGCAGGAGGGAAGCUUCGGCAAUGGACGGAAGUCUGACCGAGCAACGCCGCGUGAGUGAAGAAGGGUUUCGGAUUGUAAAGCUCUGUUGUUCGAGACGCGGUAACUAACCAGAAAGGGACGGCUAACUACGUGCCAGCAGCCGCGGUAAUAC